UACGUAGGGGGCAAGCGUUUGUCCGGAAUUAUUGGGCGUAAAGAGCGCGUAGGCGGUCCGAUAAGUCGGCUGUGAAAGUCAGGGGCUCAACCCUUGGAAGCCGGCCGAUACUGUCGGACUAGAGUCCGGAAGAGGCGAGUGGAAUUCCCGGUGUAGCGGUGAAAUGCGCAGAUAUCGGGAGGAACACCAAUGGCGAAGGCAGC
rnacentral:rRNA from 1 species